CCUACGGGAGGCAGCAGUGGGGAAUAUUGCACAAUGGGGGAACCCCUGAUGCAGCGACGCCGCGUGAAGGAAGAAGUAUUUCGGUAUGUAAACUUCUAUCAGCAGGGAAGAAAAUGACGGUACCUGACUAAGAAGCCCCGGCUAACUACGUGCCAGCAGCCUCGGUAAUCCGUAGGGGGCAAGCGUUAUCCGGAUUUACUGGGUGUAAAGGGAGCGUAGGCGGUUUAGCAAGUCAGAAGUGAAAGCCCGGGGCGCAACUCCGGGACUGCUUUUGAAACUGUUGAACUAGAUUGCAGGAGAGGUAAGUGGAAGUCCUAGUGUAGCGGUGAAAUGCGUAGAUAUUAGGAGGAACACCAGUGGCGAAGGCGGCUUACUGGACUGUAAAUGACGCUGAGGCUCGAAAGCGUGGGGAGCAAACAGGAUUAGAUACCCCGGUAGUC
rnacentral:rRNA from 1 species